rnacentral:rRNA from 1 species
AGUUUGAUCCUGGCUACAGAACGAACGCUGGCGGCAUGCCUAACACAUGCAAGUCGAACGAGACCUUCGGGUCUAGUGGCGCACGGGUGCGUAACGCGUGGGAAUCUGCCCUUGGUUCGGAAUAACAGCGAGAAAUUGCUGCUAAUACCGGAUGAUGACGUAAGUCCAAAGAUUUAUCGCCCAAGGAUGAGCCCGCGUAGGAUUAGCUAGUUGGUGAGGUAAAAGGCUCACCAAGGCGACGAUCCUUAGCUGGUCUGAGAGGAUGAUCAGCCACACUGGGACUGAGACACGGCCCAGACUCCUACGGGAGGCAGCAGUGGGGAAUAUUGGACAAUGGGCGAAAGCCUGAUCCAGCAAUGCCGCGUGAGUGAUGAAGGCCUUAGGGUUGUAAAGCUCUUUUACCCGGGAUGAUAAUGACAGUACCGGGAGAAUAAGCCCCGGCUAACUCCGUG